AAAGGAAGUUGAUCCUGGGAUUUUCAAUAAAGACUGAGAUUGACUCUUCCUGGGUCGAUGCCCGAGCGGUUAAUGGGGACGGACUGUA
rnacentral:tRNA from 1 species